rnacentral:lncRNA from 10 species
GGGGGAUGGGGGGGUGGGGGAAGGGCGAGCCAGCCAACUGGGAGGUGGAGGUGGAGACCGGAAAGCAGCGGUCGAAACGAUAGCUCCGGAGCUCACGAUUUAAAGAAAAAUGCAAAGGAAAAGCUACAGGGCGCUGCCACCUUCCCGCCACCCAGGCUUUGGGCGUUCGCUGCUCGCUUUCGAGCCCUCCGCAGCCAGGCGUCCUGGGGUUGGGGCCAGGAGAAUGGGGAGGGCCCCAUCCAGGCGCUCCACCUCUCCUCCACCUUCCGCCAGGCCCCUCCCGCAAUCCGAGAUGAAACGCUGGCUGUGUUUGGAGGGAGGAGGGAGUCCCUGCCUCUCUUUCCAAGUCCGUCUGGUUCCUUUGCGCUGCCGUCUAGGCUCCAAUAAGGACAGAAUUUCUUAACCUGGUAUCUGAUCAAUGGACGGGCCCCAGGAAGCCUGUGAGUGCCUCCGCCCAUUUGUGGUUUCACCUGCAGUUUUCUGAGUGCCACUAUGGGGAAGGGGCACCAACUUUUGUCAGAUUCUCAAGAGGAUCCGUGACUUCCCUGUUACCUCUGUGUGACGAUACCACUUGCUGUCAGAGACACAUGCUGAAAUAAGUGUUUUGUAGCCCUCAAGAGUUGGCUUCCUCAAGGAAAAAAGGAAGACAAAUCCUCAUGGAAAAAUCUGGUAAAGGGACUAGGAAGUUAGGAAAGACUGUAGAUAGAUCUCUUGUCUUUCAAAUUUUCCUCAGUCUUCUAGUCAGCCUGAGGACUGGCAGUACCAAGUAAACCCAGAAUGUGUCUGUGUUUGUGUUUUGUGUGAUAUGGGAAAAAG